GCCUCCGUAGCUCAGUGGAUAGAGCAGUGGUUUCCGGUACCACGAGCGCAGGUUCGAUUCCUGCCGGGGGUA
rnacentral:tRNA from 1 species